CCUACGGGAGGCAGCAGUAGGGAAUCUUCCACAAUGGACGAAAGUCUGAUGGAGCAACGCCGCGUGAGUGAAGAAGGUUCUCGGAUCGUAAAACUCUGUUGUGAGGGAAGAACAAGUACCGGAGUAACUGCCGGUACCUUGACGGUACCUCAUUAGAAAGCCACGGCUAACUACGUGCCAGCAGCCGCGGUAAUACGUAGGUGGCAAGCGUUGUCCGGAAUCAUUGGGCGUAAAGCGCGCGCAGGCGGUCCCUUAAGUCUGAUGUGAAAGCCCACGGCUCAACCGUGGAGGGUCAUUGGAAACUGGGGGACUUGAGUGCAGAAGAGGAAAGCGGAAUUCCAAGUGUAGCGGUGAAAUGCGUAGAGAUUUGGAGGAACACCAGUGGCGAAGGCGGCUUUCUGGUCUGUAACUGACGCUGAGGCGCGAAAGCGUGGGGAGCAAACAGGAUUAGAUACCCUGGUAGUCCACGCCGUAAACGAUGAGUGCUAAGUGUUAGGGGGUUUCCGCCCCUUAGUGCUGCAGCUAACGCAUUAA
rnacentral:rRNA from 1 species